AUUUACAGGAGCCAAGAAAAGGGCUCUUACAAAGCCCUAAAACUCACAAGAAAUCCAACAAAAAUCGAAGAUAGAACAAGCUAAAAAUUGGGUCUUUUAAAAAAUUUGUGAUCACCCAAGCUAGGAGAUUGCAAGUUUGACUCUGACAAGCUAGGUAGGAGCUUGGAAAUGAACGGGUCAAAUGGAUACAAGUUCAAGUAUGAAGCUCGCAAGGAUGCAAGG